CUUCGAUUCGGUUUCGAUUGUGGUAGGCGGUGAAGACCGUUUUGCCACACUGGUUUUCGGUCCGGCAGACAGACAAGCGUAAGUUGCAUCCCUCGACACAGCUCUUUGCGAAACUAUUUCAGGUUGGCCAGGCCAGGAUGGUGAAGCGUUUUCGGAAGCAGAGAAACAGGAAGGUUGAUUGGAAAUGGUGGUUCCCAUUCAGGGCGCUGAUUCUAAAUCGAAUCGCUUUCAGUGCCACCUAAUGGCUGGGUGGGAUUGAUGAAAUUGUGCCUUUAAAAGACGAACCGCUGUCCCGGCGGUGUUGCGGAUUUGUGACCAGAGUUUUCUAAAGAUUCCACUAGCAAACCACAGUGGAGGAGUUUCGCUUUUUGUCAUAAAAAGCCGCUGCUGAGGGGCGAGAAUCUGUAGGCGUUAAUUUAAUUAGCUUCACUCGGUAAACGAUCGGAAAACGCCCACUGUAUCGAAGGAAAAGUGACAUUAUUCAGCGCUGGGCAAGCUUCAAGCCCUUUAAGCGAAGCGUAGAAAACCGUAGCACGAUCGGAGAGGAUACCUUGUUGGAUAUAUGUAUGUAGGAGCCCUUUUGAGUGUGGUUUGAACGGAAGAGCGAGCCGUGCCGUUAAAAAUGAAAAUAAUAUAAUUAUGCAUUCAGUCGCGGGGCAUUAAAGUCAACAAACUGCUGCCGGCGUGAUCCACACGUGUGUGUGUGUGUUGUCAUGCACCCCUGACGGAUCUAUGGAGCGGAUCGUUGGAUGAAGUUUGGGCUUUUGGUGGACAUCGGGCGGACACAUCGUUUAUUCAGCGGCACGCAAAGUUUGCCCGAGCACGUACCGGACGCCUUUGCGACUGAUCAACGGGCCCAGAUAAUGAACUAACGUCUCGCGCCCAAAGUCGGUAGAAAUCGGACUGAUCACGUCCAGCUUUCCGCGCUCAGCCUUAGCUCUACGAGAAAUACGAGGAAAGGCAAAUAUAAAACUCAAUAAAGAAACGACAUUUCAACGUCCAACCCAAAGGAAUGGAGAGAGAGAGAUAGUGAGAGAAUGAGAGCCGUUGGUCAAAGUCGUGCAAAGGUAUGAACGAUCGGAUCCGUAGAUCGAACGGGCUAGAAACUGAAAGCCCAAAUACAUCCCUCAUCCCGGUCCAACCGAACUCCACGGGAGGCAUUCCUACCUCCGAGUGUUGUAGCGUUUCAUCUGAUUUCAAUUCGGACACACAAUCACGCAUACUAACGUGUAUUGCCUCAGCGUCUCUUGCUGCGGUCCUGAUCCUUGCCAGCAGAUUAGAGAAAUGUCCUAAAACAUGAAUAAAUUCGUCCACAACUACGAUGACUACGAACAUGAUGGGAAGUGAAGCCCAAGAAAAAGAAGCAAAUAAUCGUAUCGUACCCAAUCGGAAAGGAAUCAGUUUCUAAUUUAAAUAGAAUAAAGCCGGAUCGGUCUCCCCGAUAUUCUUAAGCCGCUUUUGGGAAUGGUUUUCGGUCAAACUCCGGGACUUUUUUUUAGAUUCCCCUUGACCGGGACGAUUGUAGUUGAAAUCCAUGUUAUGUCUUUUUUUUCAACAAGGAAGGUAAAAGAUGUAUCGUGAGCAUUUCCAAAAAGUGUGCAUAUC